rnacentral:rRNA from 1 species
CAGUAGCCGCGGUAAAACGGAGGGUGCAAGCGUUAAUCGGAAUUACUGGGCGUAAAGCGCACGCAGGCGGUCUGUCAAGUCAGAUGUGAAAUCCCCGGGCUUAACCUGGGAACUGCAUUUGAAACUGGCAGGCUAGAGUCUUGUAGAGGGGGGUAGAAUUCCAGGUGUAGCGGUGAAAUGCGUAGAGAUCUGGAGGAAUACCGGUGGCGAAGGCGGCCCCCUGGACAAAGACUGACGCUCAGGUGCGAAAGCGUGGGGAGCAAACAGGAUUAGAGACCCCAGUAGUCCCUGUCUCUUAUAC